UCCUCCAAAACUAAACCAAUCGUAACCAAAUUUAGAAAUCUAAAUGAUUAUGAAAUUAUCUGUGUCGGACCGUUUUGCUUUUUUGACUAAUUGAUAUCAUUUUUAGGGUUCCGUACCUCAAAAGGAAAAAACGGAACCCUUAUAGGAUCACUCGUGCGUCUGUCUGUCUGUCCGUCUGUCACAGCCUAUUUUCUCCGAAACUACUGGACCAAUUAAGUUGAAAUUUGGUACACAUAUGUAAGUUUGUGACCCAAAGACGGACAUGUAACGUAAACAAAUGAAUUUUAAACAUGGGGACCACUUUUG